GACGUAAACGGAAUGCUGCCGACGCAAAGUGAGGGUGAGAGUGAGGUUUGAAAAUGCAUGCCUAUGUGCGUCACAUUGAAGAUAAUGUCCGGAAGACCGUGUCAACGCAUGACACAGAAAACUUCCACCCCCAAAGAAGAGGUACAGGACCCCAGAGGAAAGUGGCUCAUGCUAUGAUAGACAAAUAUCAAAAUUGUCAGAUAAUGAAGAGGAUUUCAGUGCCACCGGUGGAGAGCGGGGACGAAGAGCCAGCCUCUAAUAACCAGUAGAAGUGGCAUCAAACAGGGAUCCUGAAGCAGUCUCUCCCCGAAUCUGGAAGCAUGUCUGGAAGCAGAACCUGAAGUGAUCACCCCAGAGUUGGACGAAGAAGGAAAGAUGGCCUCUUCUUCAAAAAUCCCACAAAUGCAGCAGGAGCAUGAAGGUCUGCAGCUGAAGCUGCAGCUACUUGCGUACUCAUCCACUGACCCUGCUGUCCCAAGACACGUCUUGGCAGCCAGA